UACGUAGGGGGCGAGCGUUGUCCGGAAUUACUGGGCGUAAAGGGCGCGUAGGCGGUUAAUCAAGUCUGUUGUGAAAUUCCAAGGCUCAACUUUGGCAGUGCAAUGGAAACUGGUUGACUUGAGUACGGCAGAGGCAAGUGGAAUUCCCAGUGUAGCGGUGAAAUGCACAGAGAUUGGGAGGAACACCAGUGGCGAAGGCGACUUGCUGGGCCGAAACUGACGCUGAGGCGCGAAAGCGUGGGGAGCAAACAGG
rnacentral:rRNA from 1 species